UACGUAGGGAGCAAGCGUUGUCCGGAUUUAUUGGGCGUAAAGAGCUCGUAGGCGGCUUACCAAGUCAGGUGUGAAACCUCCAGGCUCAACCUGGAGCCGCCACUUGAUACUGGUAUGGCUUGAGUUCGGUAGGGGUAAGCGGAAUUCCUGGUGUAGCGGUGAAAUGCGCAGAUAUCAGGAGGAACACCGAUGGCGAAGGCAGCUUACUGGGCCGAUACUGACGCUGAGGAGCGAAAGCGUGGGGAGCGAACAGG
rnacentral:rRNA from 1 species